UACAGAGGGUGCAAGCGUUGUUCGGAAUCAUUGGGCGUAAAGCGCACGUAGGCGGUCUGCUAAGUCGGGUGUGAAAGCCCCAGGCUCAACCUGGGAAGUGCACUCGAAACUGGCGGACUUGAAUGUCGGAGAGGGUGGUGGAAUUCCGAGUGUAGAGGUGAAAUUCGUAGAUAUUCGGAGGAACACCAGUGGCGAAGGCGACCACCUGGACGAACAUUGACGCUGAGGUGCGAAAGCGUGGGGAGCAAACAGG
rnacentral:rRNA from 1 species